rnacentral:rRNA from 1 species
GUCGUAGGAGAUGACUACGUUGAUAGGCCAUAGGUGUAAAGGUUGAGAGACCAAAGCCAAGUGGUACUAAUAGCCCGAAGCUUUCUCAAG